CGACCGGCGCACGGGUGAGUAACACGUAUCCAACCUGCCGAUGACUCGGGGAUAGCCUUUCGAAAGAAAGAUUAAUACACGAUGGCAUAGUUCUUCCGCAUGGUAGAACUAUUAAAGAAUUUCGGUCAUCGAUGGGGAUGCGUUCCAUUAGGUUGUUGGCGGGGUAACGGCCCACCAAGCCUUCGAUGGAUAGGGGUUCUGAGAGGAAGGUCCCCCACAUUGGAACUGAGACACGGUCCAA
rnacentral:rRNA from 1 species